rnacentral:rRNA from 1 species
GAUGAACGCUGGCGGCGUGCCUAAUACAUGCAAGUCGAGCGAACGGACGAGAAGCUUGCUUCUCUGAUGUUAGCGGCGGACGGGUGAGUAACACGUGGAUAGCCUACCUAUAAGACUGGGAUAACUUCGGGAAACCGUAGCUAAUACCGGAUAAUAUUUUGAACCGCAUUGUUCAAAAGUGAAAGACGGUCUUGCUGUCACUUAUAGAUGGAUCCGCGCUGCAUUAGAUAGUUGGUAAGGUAACGGCUUACCAAGGCAACGAUGCAUAGCCGACCUGAGAGGGUGAUCGGCCACACUGGAACUGAGACACGGCACAGACUCCUACGGGAGGCAGCAGUAGGGAAUCUUCCGCAAUGGGCGAAAGCCUGACGGAGCAACGUCGCGGGAGUGAUGAAGGUCCUCGGAUCGUAAAACGCUGUUAGUAGGGAAGAACAUAUGUGUAAGUAACUGUGCACAUCUUGACGGUACCUAAUCAGAAAGCCACGGCUAACUACGUG